UACGGGGGGGGCAAGCGUUGUUCGGAAUUACUGGGCGUAAAGGGCUCGUAGGUGGCCAACUAAGUCAGACGUGAAAUCCCUCGGCUUAACCGGGGAACUGCGUCUGAUACUGGAUGGCUUGAGUUCGGGAGAGGGAUGCGGAAUUCCAGGUGUAGCGGUGAAAUGCGUAGAUAUCAGGAGGAACACCGGUGGUGUAGACGGCUCACUGGACCGUAACUGACGCUGAGACACGAAAGCGUGGGUAGCAAACAGG
rnacentral:rRNA from 1 species